GAAGUUAAGGCUGUGGUUGACUGAGCACCUACUUGAAUCAGAACUGGAAUAUAAUAGCCUGCUUUGCUGGAAGGAAUACUGUUGCAGAUACAUUUCGGAGCRUGGAUCCUGAAAGCACAGAUGCUGUAAUGCACUAGAUUACAUUCAUAUUUGUUUAGGAGCCUUUAAUUUGCAUCACUGCUGGAAGAAUAGAAGAGUUUGGCCUAUAUGGUACCUUUUUGUAAUGAAAAGAUUUGAUGAAGCUGUUUCUUGUUUAAACCAAAAUGAAGAGUAUGUCCUAGGAUAUUGUGCAGCUCAUCAUUAACAGAACUAAAUGGCAAGUUACUGAAAAUAACCUUCAUAGUACUCUCUUUAUAGCAAGCUUUGCUUUGAAUGUCAUCUAGCAUUCCUAGCAAUAACAUCCUGUAUGCGUUUUGAUGUAAGAUAGCAGGGCUCAAUUGUGCUGAAUGACCUUUUGAAAAUAAUGAUUUACUGCUUAUUCAUGGUGCCCGUUGCUCUGAAAAUUACUGGUAUUUUUUUGUGAUGCUAUCUGGGAGCCUUCAAUAUUGCAUUGAUGUUCAGAGGUGUGCUGAAAAGUAUUUUAUGAGCUGUGUGAGAUUCCAAACUGGUAGUAGAUCAUAUAGGUAGRCUUGAAAAUAUUUUUUUUCUAAAAACAGAACUGUGGAAAAUCUUUUUUACUUAAUUGCCAAGACCAAAUUUCAAAUUUGAAUAUCUUCCUGAAUCAGCUAAUACUGCCAUCAGUUAAUGCUUCAUUUUCAAAAGGAAUAAGAUUUUCAAUCACUUUAAAGAAAGCCAAGUAAGUAUCUAUCAACUGAUAGAACUCAAUAUGGUAUGGAGACAAAAUAAAACAAAACCAAGUUUUCCUUAGGCCCCUCCUGAUGCACACAAGCCUGUAUUUAGAAGCAGCUAUUAUAACUGAAAAUUUGGGCUCCUGACUUCCAUCUGGAAUAGCAAUGUUUUUCAGCAAUGUAUUUUUCUUGAAAAUGCAAUAUUUAAAAGUGUUUUCCUUAUUUCUUGUUGCUGUUUUGUUCAUUUAGUUGCCACAUUUUUCCACUCUUGCUUUUUGCAGCAGGAAGAGUUAUAUGCUUCAUUUCAGAGAGGGUAGACUGAUUCAUCGAAUCAAAUGUUUGGAUUAGAAAUGACCCAUACAUUAAUUUUGCACUAAAGAUUUUGCUCCGGAUGUCAACUUUUCC